AGUAAUAUAUAGAUAACGUGCCUCUUAGCCUGGGAUAGCCAUUGGAAACGAUGAUUAAUACUAGAUACUCCUUCUCAUUAUAAUGUGAGUUGGGAAAGUUUUUCGCUAAGAGAUCGGUCUAUAUCCCAUCAGCUUGUUGGUAGUGUAAGAGACUACCAAGGCAAUGACGGGUAGCGGGUUUGAGAGGAUGAUCCGCCACACUGGUACUGAGACACGGACCAG
rnacentral:rRNA from 1 species